rnacentral:misc_RNA from 1 species
GUAUAGUAGUGCUUGUGCACAACAGUAAUUUCAUUACAUUCGAGUGGGUGUAAAAUCCUCUGCUCGCCGAAGCUAGCAAGAGGCCAAAGGUUCACAGGGUAUUGGAUGAAAGCUGUCUCCGUGCACUUGCCAGAGUGACCUGAGUGACCUGGCCAGCACUGGAGACAACGAUUCGCAAUCAAUAAUGAUCCUUCCGCAGGUUCACCUACGGAAA